UGAUUAAGCCCCUAUAAGUGGUUCGGUUUAGUUUUUCAUUAGCAGUCUGGAUUUAGAGAACCUUUGGUGAUUGUUAGUUAGUGAAAACUUUAGUAUAACCAGUUGUCUUGUUAUCAGGUCAUGCCCAUGGAAGAUGAUCAAGUGGUUAUGCAGGAGAACACAUCACAAUCAUCUUCUCUUGUACCAGAAAUCAACAACUUCUCUAUACAUCCAGUUAUGCAAGUCUAUCCUGAGUUCCCUGUACCAACAUCUGGUGGUGAUGCAACAGGGAAUCAAUCAUUCGGACAGUUUGCUUCCUCGAAUCUCAUCGGUUUGGUUCCAUCGACCUUUCAAGCAUGGCCUGCACCGCUCUCCCUCAACCUCUCACUAGCUUCAUCUAAUCUGAAAG
rnacentral:lncRNA from 1 species